GGCCGCCGCGGAGAGAUUGUCUUGCAGCUGCGAGCACUCGCAGAUCAGUAGGUACAUCUUGUCGCCCUGUGACAUUGAUUUGUGCAGCGUAAUACGUCUUAGGCCAACCGACUUCGAUUCCUCCAGUUGAAUCGUGCCAGCCACUCCAUCUUCCAAACUGACGUGUCUCUCUUGAAUUAAUUGAAGUAGCCGAAUUGUAUUGUCUCCGUUGUGUCAAUUUCCUCUGGCUGGGAGGGUGUCUUUUGGUUGAUUAAAUUCAAUCCACAUUCCGCUAAAUGUCGAGAUCGCUCGUGUCUUAGAUCGUACCGACGCUGUGGUCGGAGAUUAAUUCUACUCUUCUGGGAGGCUUGCAAACAACCUCUGCAAACGAUUCAGGAUCCGUUAUAUCCCAUACAGGAACUAACACCAUUAGUUUCCUACUAAGAGUAAGAAAUCGAAAGCUCACCUGUCUGGAGGCAGUCGGUGUAGGUGGUUCGGAAGGGUCCUUCUGCAGCGGGUUCUGAGCCUUCCUCCUCGCCUGGCCGGCAGCCGCCGAUCCCUG